rnacentral:tRNA from 2 species
GGCCGCCUGGCGUAAUGGCAACGCGUCUGACUACGAUGUGUUCCUUGUAAUCAGGAGAUUGCAGGUUCGACCCCUGCGGUGGUCA